rnacentral:rRNA from 1 species
UACGGAGGAGGCAAGCGUUAUCCGGAAUUAUUGGGCGUAAAGCGUCCGCAGGUGGCACCUCAAGUCUGCUGUCAAAGACCGGGGCUUAACCCCAGAAAGGCAGUGGAAACUGAAGUGCUAGAGUGCAGUAGGGGUAGAGGGAAUUCCCGGUGUAGCGGUGAAAUGCGUAGAGAUCGGGAGGAACACCGGUGGCGAAGGCGCUCAUCUGGCCCAAUACUGACGCUGAGGCGCGAAAGCUAGGGGAGCAAACGGG